UGAUAAGGCUGCUGCAUCCCAAGGAAAGGGUUUCGGCUUUUACAAGGACAAGUGCUGGAUCAGCCUGAUCUCCUGGGAGUUAUGAAUCAGAUGGUCUGAAUGUCCUUGCGAGACUUGUGGAAAGAGAAAUGUUAUCCAGGCCUUAAAUAAGACUGGGCUAUUAAGCUUGGAGUUACUCAGUGGCAAGACAAAUCUACUGCAUGUGCAGCAUCUAUCGGGGCCAGUCACACACGUACAUCUCACCAUCCCC
rnacentral:lncRNA from 10 species